AUUCCUAAGGCCAUAUAAAAUAAAUUCCUUGAUUCUCAUCACCGCCCGACGAUAUUUUGGUUUCCGCGUUGAUAUAUUUUUGUAUUUUGUUAUAAAAUAUAAAUUUACCGCCCGACCGAGCAUCUUCACAUAUUUAGUUUUUUUUAUAUUUUAUAUUGGAAUUUUUGCGAUAUAAAAUUGUUUUAUCGUUAAUAUUGCAACAUGUUAAGG